UGAGGAACAUGACUUUCGGCGGGGGAUAGCCGGCCCAACGGCCGGGUAAUACCGCGUACGACCUUUUGGGGACAUCCCCGAUUGGUGAAAGCAGCAAUGCGCCGAAAGAGUGCCUCGCGGCCUAUCAGCUAGUUGGUGGGGUAAUGGCUCACCAAGGCAACGACGGGUAGCUGGUCUGAGAGGAUGGCCAGCCACAGUUGGGACUGAGACACCGGCCCAGACCUCCGUACGGGAGCAGC
rnacentral:rRNA from 1 species